UGCAGCAGCAGCAAUUGAGUUUUCAAUUUUCUUUUCGUUUGGUUUUGGGUGUUUUAGAUUAGGGUCUGGUUUCUCUUUGUUAUUUCUCCUCUCCUAUUUGCAGUUUUCUUUUAUACAGAUGAGUUGCUUUUCUUGUAUAAGUCCUAGCAGAAAGGACAUAAGCAAAAUUGAAGACAGUAACGGCCUUCGACCCAACUCUCGCUAUUCUCUUGAGUCUUCUGAACGUAACAGGGAAGGAAGCUUCCAAUCAACUGCUGCCCGUAGUUUUACAUUUCGUGAACUUGCAACUGCAACACGAAACUUCAAGCCUAAUAAUAUGAUAGGGGAAGGGGGCUUCGGAAGGGUUUAUAAAGGGCGCUUAGACACAGGCCAGAUUGUUGCUGUCAAACAACUUGAUCAAAAUGGUGUUCAGGGGAAUCAGGAAUUCAUUGUGGAGGUUCUCAUGUUGAGCCUUCUACACCAUUCCAAUCUUGUCAACUUGAUUGGUUACUGUGCUGAUGGAGAUCAAAGGCUCUUAGUUUACGAAUACAUGCCAAUGGGAUGUUUAGAGGAUCAUUUGUUCGAUCUGGACCCUGGCAAAGAGUCAUUGGAAUGGAAUACACGGAUGAAGAUUGCCAUUGGUGCUGCUCGGGGCCUUGAGUAUCUGCAUUGCAAGGCAAAUCCACCUGUUAUAUACCGUGAUUUGAAGUCUUCAAAUAUUUUAUUGGAUAAUGACUUUAACCCCAAGCUGUCUGAUUUUGGUCUUGCCAAAUUGGGUCCUGUUGGUGACAAAACUCAUGUUUCAACAAGGGUGAUGGGGACACAUGGCUACUGUGCCCCAGAAUAUGCCAUGAGUGGAAAGCUGACGCUCAAGUCCGAUGUUUAUGGGUUUGGUGUGGUUCUGUUGGAAUUGAUCACAGGAAGAAUGGCAAUUGACUGCACCAAGGCACAUGCAGAGCAGAAUCUGGUUUCUUGGUCCCGUCCCUACUUCAAAGAUCGGAGGAAGUUCGUUCAGUUGGUUGACCCCCUGCUGCAAGGCCGCUUUCCCAUUCGCUCUUUGCACCAUGCAAUUUCCAUAACUGUGAUGUGCCUUCAAGAGCAGCCGAAUUUUCGGCCUCUGAUGGGGGAUGUUGUUGUUGCUUUGGAAUACUUGUCAUCUCAACCUUACAAACCAGAGGCACACAUCAGUCUGAAACACAGUCCUCCAUCAUCACCUUCACAGCAAGAUAGUAAAAAGAUUUCUCGAGAAUCAGAUGCUAGAAAGUCUAUUUAAAGGUUGUGAAGCAGAAGAAGAAUGAGAGAUCUGAUCUGGAGGCACCAUGUAAUUUGUAUAGGAUUUGUUGCUUCAGUUGGUUACAGGAGGGAUGGACUAAGAAGAAAUAGAGAAUGUAGCCCUGUUGCUGUUCAAAGGAAUGCUGUAAGAAAAAACUUUGUUACCAGUAUCUCUAUGUAGUGAAUGCAUUAAGAAUGUGUAUAUAUGUAUAUGUAUGGGUUUAUUGUGUGGCUUGGCUUGAUGGGAUAAGGAGAUAAUCUAUACUGGAGGUCUUUGGUGCACUCUAUUUGGGCAUUGAUAUGUGUCUGCUGUUGCACACGAAUGCUUCUAAAAUUGGGUGGAGGGAUGUCAAACUGUUACUUGAGAUGGGGAGAAACUGGUAGAGAGAAAUUUUGGCCUAUUACAUCUCUUUUACAUGGUUAUAUAUCAGUAAGCAGACUUGAACCUUUUUGUUUUCUUC